rnacentral:rRNA from 1 species
GACAGAGGGUGCAAACGUUGCUCGGAAUCACUGGGCGUAAAGGGCGCGUAGGCGGGAAUGUAAGUCGGGCGUGAAAUCCCCAGGCUCAACCUGGGAACUGCACUCGAAACUGCGUUUCUUGAGUUAUCGGAGAGGAAAGCGGAAUUCCUGGUGUAGAGGUGAAAUUCGUAGAUAUCAGGAGGAACACCAGCGGCGAAGGCGGCUUUCUGGACGGUAACUGACGCUGAG